rnacentral:rRNA from 1 species
UCUGGGUGGCGAGUGGCGGACGGGUGAGGAAUACAUCGGAAUCUACUCUGUCGUGGGGGAUAACGUAGGGAAACUUACGCUAAUACCGCAUACGACCUACGGGUGAAAGCAGGGGAUCUUCGGACCUUGCGCGAUUGAAUGAGCCGAUGUCGGAUUAGCUAGUUGGCGGGGUAAAGGCCCACCAAGGCGACGAUCCGUAGCUGGUCUGAGAGGAUGAUCAGCCACACUGGAACUGAGACACGGUCCAGACUCCUACGGGAGGCAGCAGUGGGGAAUAUUGGACAAUGGGCGCAAGCCUGAUCCAGCCAUACCGCGUGGGUGAAGAAGGCCUUCGGGUUGUAAAGCCCUUUUGUUGGGAAAGAAAUCCAGCUGGCUAAUACCCGGUUGGGAUGACGGUACCCAAAGAAUAAGCACCGGCUAACUUCGUGCCAGCAGCCGCGGUAAUAACCC